UAAGCGACUAAGCGUACACGGUGGAUGCCCUGGCAGUCAGAGGCGAUGAAGGACGUGCUAAUCUGCGAUAAGCGUCGGUAAGGUGAUAUGAACCGUUAUAACCGGCGAUUUCCGAAUGGGGAAACCCAGUGUGAUUCGUCACACUAUCAUUAACUGAAUCCAUAGGUUAAUGAGGCGAACCGGGGAACUGAAACAUCUAAGUACCCCGAGGAAAAGAAAUCAACCGAGAUUCCCCCAGUAGCGGCGAGCGAACGGGGAGCAGCCCAGAGCCUGAAUCAGUGUGUGUGUUAGUGGAAGCGUCUGGAAAGGCGCGCGAUACAGGGUGACAGCCCCGUACACAAAAAUGCACAUGCUGUGAGCUCGAUGAGUAGGGCGGGACACGUGGUAUCCUGUCUGAAUAUGGGGGGACCAUCCUCCAAGGCUAAAUACUCCUGACUGACCGAUAGUGAACCAGUACCGUGAGGGAAAGGCGAAAAGAACCCCGGCGAGGGGAGUGAAAAAGAACCUGAAACCGUGUACGUACAAGCAGUGGGAGCACAGAGCAAUCUGUGUGACUGCGUACCUUUUGUAUAAUGGGUCAGCGACUUAUAUUCUGUAGCAAGGUUAACCGAAUAGGGGAGCCGAAGGGAAACCGAGUCUUAACUGGGCGUUAAGUUGCAGGGUAUAGACCCGAAACCCGGUGAUCUAGCCAUGGGCAGGUUGAAGGUUGGGUAACACUAACUGGAGGACCGAACCGACUAAUGUUGAAAAAUUAGCGGAUGACUUGUGGCUGGGGGUGAAAGGCCAAUCAAACCGGGAGAUAGCUGGUUCUCCCCGAAAGCUAUUUAGGUAGCGCCUCGUGAAUUCAUCUCCGGGGGUAGAGCACUGUUUCGGCAAGGGGGUCAUCCCGACUUACCAACCCGAUGCAAACUGCGAAUACCGGAGAAUGUUAUCACGGGAGACACACGGCGGGUGCUAACGUCCGUCGUGAAGAGGGAAACAACCCAGACCGCCAGCUAAGGUCCCAAAGUCAUGGUUAAGUGGGAAACGAUGUGGGAAGGCCCAGACAGCCAGGAUGUUGGCUUAGAAGCAGCCAUCAUUUAAAGAAAGCGUAAUAGCUCACUGGUCGAGUCGGCCUGCGCGGAAGAUGUAACGGGGCUAAACCAUGCACCGAAGCUGCGGCAGCGACACUGUGUGUUGUUGGGUAGGGGAGCGUUCUGUAAGCCUGCGAAGGUGUGCUGUGAGGCAUGCUGGAGGUAUCAGAAGUGCGAAUGCUGACAUAAGUAACGAUAAAGCGGGUGAAAAGCCCGCUCGCCGGAAGACCAAGGGUUCCUGUCCAACGUUAAUCGGGGCAGGGUGAGUCGACCCCUAAGGCGAGGCCGAAAGGCGUAGUCGAUGGGAAACAGGUUAAUAUUCCUGUACUUGGUGUUACUGCGAAGGGGGGACGGAGAAGGCUAUGUUGGCCGGGCGACGGUUGUCCCGGUUUAAGCGUGUAGGCUGGUUUUCCAGGCAAAUCCGGAAAAUCAAGGCUGAGGCGUGAUGACGAGGCACUACGGUGCUGAAGCAACAAAUGCCCUGCUUCCAGGAAAAGCCUCUAAGCAUCAGGUAACAUCAAAUCGUACCCCAAACCGACACAGGUGGUCAGGUAGAGAAUACCAAGGCGCUUGAGAGAACUCGGGUGAAGGAACUAGGCAAAAUGGUGCCGUAACUUCGGGAGAAGGCACGCUGAUAUGUAGGUGAAGUCCCUCGCGGAUGGAGCUGAAAUCAGUCGAAGAUACCAGCUGGCUGCAACUGUUUAUUAAAAACACAGCACUGUGCAAACACGAAAGUGGACGUAUACGGUGUGACGCCUGCCCGGUGCCGGAAGGUUAAUUGAUGGGGUCAGCGCAAGCGAAGCUCUUGAUCGAAGCCCCGGUAAACGGCGGCCGUAACUAUAACGGUCCUAAGGUAGCGAAAUUCCUUGUCGGGUAAGUUCCGACCUGCACGAAUGGCGUAAUGAUGGCCAGGCUGUCUCCACCCGAGACUCAGUGAAAUUGAACUCGCUGUGAAGAUGCAGUGUACCCGCGGCAAGACGGAAAGACCCCGUGAACCUUUACUAUAGCUUGACACUGAACAUUGAGCCUUGAUGUGUAGGAUAGGUGGGAGGCUUUGAAGUGUGGACGCCAGUCUGCAUGGAGCCGGCCUUGAAAUACCACCCUUUAAUGUUUGAUGUUCUAACGUUGACCCGUGAUCCGGGUUGCGGACAGUGUCUGGUGGGUAGUUUGACUGGGGCGGUCUCCUCCUAAAGAGUAACGGAGGAGCACGAAGGUUGGCUAAUCCUGGUCGGACAUCAGGAGGUUAGUGCAAUGGCAUAAGCCAGCUUGACUGCGAGCGUGACGGCGCGAGCAGGUGCGAAAGCAGGUCAUAGUGAUCCGGUGGUUCUGAAUGGAAGGGCCAUCGCUCAACGGAUAAAAGGUACUCCGGGGAUAACAGGCUGAUACCGCCCAAGAGUUCAUAUCGACGGCGGUGUUUGGCACCUCGAUGUCGGCUCAUCACAUCCUGGGGCUGAAGUAGGUCCCAAGGGUAUGGCUGUUCGCCAUUUAAAGUGGUACGCGAGCUGGGUUUAGAACGUCGUGAGACAGUUCGGUCCCUAUCUGCCGUGGGCGCUGGAGAACUGAGGGGGCUGCUCCUAGUACGAGAGGACCGGAGUGGACGCAUCACUGGUGUUCGGGUUGUCAUGCCAAUGGCACUGCCCGGUAGCUAAAUGCGGAAGAGAUAAGUGCUGAAAGCAUCUAAGCACGAAACUUGCCCCGAGAUGAGUUCUCCCUGACUCCUUGAGAGUCCUGAAGGAACGUUGAAGACGACGACGUUGAUAGGCCGGGUGUGUAAGCGCAGCGAUGCGUUGAGCUAACCGGUACUAAUGAACCGUGAGGCUUAACCU
rnacentral:rRNA from 1 species